rnacentral:rRNA from 1 species
UACGGAGGGUGCGAGCGUUGUCCGGAAUCAUUGGGCAUAAAGAGCGUGUAGGCGGUCCGGUAAGUCCGCUGUGAAAGUCGGGGGCUCAACCCUCGAAUGCCGGUGGAUACUGUCGGGCUAGAGUGCGGAAGAGGCGAGUGGAAUUCCUGGUGUAGCGGUGAAAUGCGCAGAUAUCAGGAGGAACACCUAUUGCGAAGGCAGCUCGCUGGGACGUAACUGACGCUGAGACGCGAAAGCGUGGGGAGCAAACAGG